rnacentral:misc_RNA from 1 species
GAUGAAGAACGCAGCAAAAUGCGAUAAGUAAUGUGAAUUGCAGAAUUCAGUGAAUCAUCGAAUCUUUGAACGCACAUUGCGCCCGCCAGUAUUCUGGCGGGCAUGUCUGUUCGAGCGUCAUUUCAACCCUCAAGCUCAGCUUGGUGUUGGGACUCGCGGUAACCCGCGUUCCCCAAAUCGAUUGGCGGUCACGUCGAGCUUCCAUAGCGUAGUAAUCAUACACCUCGUUACUGGUAAUCGUCGCGGCCACGCCGUAAAACCCCAACUUCUGAAUGUUGACCUCGGAUCAGGUAGGAAUACCCGCUGAACUUAAGCAUAUCAAUAAGCGGAGGA